rnacentral:lncRNA from 1 species
AAAAAGAAUGCAAAAUGAGUUUCACUUAGACUUUGCUAUUUGAUUUAUUUUCUUACAGCAGAAGGUGAUUUACUACCUCUGCAUCUUAUUGAAAGAUCCAGUGGAACCACAUGGGAUAUCCCAAGUAGUACCCGUCUUCCAGAGUGCCAAGCCCCGGCUGGACUGCUUGAUUGAAGUAUACAGGAGCUGCCAGGAGAUCCUGGCACACCAGAAAGCCACAUCAACAAGCCCAUGAGCCCCAGCGUUCAGAAGGCCAGCAUUGUCUUCCAUGGGAGAUGACUCUUAAGCCAUAGGGGCUGGUUUUCCGUACUCCAAACCAUCAGGUGGACACAGUCCUAGGAACCAUUAUGGAUGUAGUGCAUCUUAGAGCCAUAGAGCAGGUGACUGGAAAUCUAACUCAGUAUAUUUCCGUGUAUUAUAGUGUUUUCCUUGUAAGGUUUUGCCUACUUUACCAAAGGAGGGGAGACCUUAAGAAUUUUGACACAGUAUGUCAAAAGUAAUGUCAGCAAAGAACACUUUCGGAAAUUGCUAAGCAUGUUCAGGUUUACUUUGUUGAUGUU